GAUACAAAAAGGAGAAAUCCGCUGAUGGAUGGGCUCACGUCUGAUUAGCUAGUUGGUGAGGUAGCGGCUCACCAAGGCUGCGAUCAGUAGCCGGACUGAGAGGUUGAACGGCCACAUUGGGACUGAGAUACGGCCCAGACUCCUACGGGAGGCAGCAGUGGGGAAUAUUGGGCAAUGGGCGAAAGCCUGACCCAGCAACGCCGCGUGAAGGAAGAAGGCCUUCGGGUUGUAAACUUCUUUUAAGAGGGACGAAGAAGUGACGGUACCUCUUGAAUAAGCCACGGCUAACUACGUGCCAGCAGCCGCGGUAAUACGUAGGUGGCGAGCGUUAUCCGGAUUUACUGGGUGUAAAGGGCGCGUAGGCGGGAAUGCAAGUCAGAUGUGAAAUCCAAGGGCUCAACCCUUGAACUGCAUUUGAAACUGUAUUUCUUGAGUGUCGGAGAGGUUGACGGAAUUCCUAGUGUAGCGGUGAAAUGCGUAGAUAUUAGGAGGAACAC
rnacentral:rRNA from 1 species